rnacentral:pre_miRNA from 1 species
GCAUAUGUAUCCAUCUAUCCAUGUGUGUUGAGGUGGGUUGGUGUAGAACUUAAACUAAAUUCCACACCAAUUCACUCCAGCACACAUGGAUUAAGGUGGAUAUAUGA